rnacentral:sRNA from 1 species
GAUUUCGUGUAGUACAUGUAGAAGUACACGUUCAGAAUCAUAGUGAACACCACGAAGACCGCUCCCGCGAUAAAAACUCCUUUGCGCAGGGACUCGCAAGUCCAGCUCCCCACGUAUACCAUAUGCCUAUACCUGGUGUGGUACGCGUUCUUUGUUGCUCCAGCUAUCAGGCACGACUCCGCGAUCAUGAAUGUGACCCUGACAAUGCGGCAG